rnacentral:snoRNA from 1 species
ACCCUCCAGGUUCCUUACUCUUCAGGUCUAAACUUUGGUUUGAGUGGCCAGCAAGGGAGGAAAAGUAAAACCGAAACCCACUUGGAUCCUCACAGGCCAUGCAAGUUUGUUUUAAGCAAAG